AGAAUUUGCACCAACAAAAAUUCAAAGUUCCUUAGAUUUUUGGGAUAAAAUGGAGGGACUUCCAAAGAUUACAUGCUGGAACUGAGAAUUUUAAUAAUCAGUAUAUUGUACUCAGUGUCACUUCUGGCGUCUUGCAUUUUGUUGGUGAUUCAUUGGUUCCUGAUACCAUUGAAAAAAACUGCCAAAGUUCUUCAACAGGUUGAUAAGAAGUUUAUUUCAAUUGUGGCGGGCACCACACUUCCUAUUAUUAAUCAGGGAUACAUUCAAAAAGUGCACCAUUUGCAAAUCAGUCUUUGA
rnacentral:misc_RNA from 1 species